rnacentral:rRNA from 1 species
UACGGGGGGGGCAAGCGUUGUUCGGAAUUACUGGGCGUAAAGGCUCGUAGGCGGCCAACUAAGUCAGACGUGAAAUCCCUCGGCUUAACCGGGGAACUGCAUCUGAUACUGGAUGGCUUGAGUUCGGGAGAGGGAUGCGGAAUUCCAGGUGUAGCGGUGAAAUGCGUAGAUAUCUGGAGGAACACCGGUGGCGAAGGCGGCAUCCUGGACCGACACUGACGCUGAGGAGCGAAAGCCAGGGAGCAAAGCGGG